rnacentral:rRNA from 1 species
AUUGAACGCUGGCGGCAUGCCUUACACAUGCAAGUCGAACGGCAGCACGGGUGCUUGCACCUGGUGGCGAGUGGCGAACGGGUGAGUAAUACAUCGGAACAUGUCCUGUAGUGGGGGAUAGCCCGGCGAAAGCCGGAGUAAUACCGCAUACGAUCUACGGAUGAAAGCGGGGGACCUUCGGGCCUCGCGCUAUAGGGGUGGCCGAUGGCUGAUUAGCUAGUUGGUGGGGUGAAGGCCUACCAAGGCGACGAUCAGUAGCUGGUCUGAGAGGACGACCAGCCACACUGGGACUGAGACACGGCCCAGACUCCUACGGGAGGCAGCAGUGGGGAAUUUUGGACAAUGGGCGAAAGCCUGAUCCAGCAAUGCCGCGUGUGUGAAGAAGGCCUUCGGGUUGUAAAGCACUUUUGUCCGGAAAGAAAUCCUUGGCCCUAAUACGGUCGGGGGAUGACGGUACCGGAAGAAUAAGCACCGGCUAACUACGUG